UUUUUUUUUCUCCACUUUGGUUAUUAGGUGUGCAUAUGUGUACACAGUAUACAUUAUCAGUGCUCCUUAAGAAAAAAUUUUAAGAGAAAAACGAUAAAAUAUAACUUUAACACUCCCCACAUACCAAAGCAGCUACUAUGAAUGUUUACUCCACAGAGAUCCUUUUUUUUUUUUUUAAAUAUCAGAGCACAUCUAGUUUCUUUCUUCUUUUUUUCCCCUCUCUUUCAUGUUGGGGAGGAGAAAGAAAGCUUUAAUAUAGAUAAUAUUUAGACUUGCUUUUGUUUUCCUCAUAUGUAUGUAACUCUAGGAAACCAAUCUCUCUUUUUUCCG
rnacentral:lncRNA from 1 species